rnacentral:rRNA from 1 species
UACGUAGGUGGCAAGCGUUGUCCGGAAUUAUUGGGCGUAAAGCGCGCGCAGGCGGUCCUUUAAGUCUGAUGUGAAAGCCCACGGCUCAACCGUGGAGGGUCAUUGGAAACUGGAGGACUUGAGUACAGAAGAGGAAAGCGGAAUUCCACGUGUAGCGGUGAAAUGCGUAGAGAUGUGGAGGAACACCCGUAGCGAAGGCGGCACUCUGGGCCGAUACUGACACUGAGGAGCGAAAGCGUGGGGAGCGAACAGG